CACGUAGGGUGCGAGCGUUGUCCGGAAUUAUUGGGCGUAAAGAGCUCGUAGGCGGUGUGUCGCGUCGGCCGUGAAAACCUGCAGCUUAACUGUGGGCGUGCGGUCGAUACGGGCAUCACUGGAGUUCGGCAGGGGAGACUGGAAUUCCUGGUGUAGCGGUGAAAUGCGCAGAUAUCAGGAGGAACACCGGUGGCGAAGGCGCCGCUCUGGGCCGACACUGACGCUGAGGAGCGAAAGCGUGGGUAGCAAACAGG
rnacentral:rRNA from 1 species